rnacentral:rRNA from 1 species
AAUGAACGCUGGCGGCAUGCCUAACACAUGCAAGUCGAACGAAGGCUUCGGCCUUAGUGGCGCACGGGUGCGUAACGCGUGGGAAUCUGCCCUUGGGUUCGGAAUAACAGUUAGAAAUGACUGCUAAUACCGGAUGAUGUCGUAAGACCAAAGAUUUAUCGCCCAAGGAUGAGCCCGCGUAGGAUUAGCUAGUUGGUGGGGUAAAGGCCUACCAAGGCGACGAUCUUUAGCUGGUCUGAGAGGAUGAUCAGCCACACUGGGACUGAGACACGGCCCAGACUCCUACGGGAGGCAGCAGUGGGGAAUAUUGGACAAUGGGCGAAAGCCUGAUCCAGCAAUGCCGCGUGAGUGAUGAAGGCCUUAGGGUUGUAAAGCUCUUUUACCCGGGAUGAUAAUGACAGUACCGGGAGAAUAAGCUCCGGCUAACUUCGUG